rnacentral:lncRNA from 1 species
AAGACCAAGGUCAACAAGGACAACAAUGAGAUCGUGGACAAGAUCAUGGGCAAAGGACAGAUCCAGCUGGACCCACAAACCGUGGAGACCAAGAACUGGCACACGGACGUGAUUGAGAUGAACGGGAUCAAAGUGGAAUUUUCCAUGAAAUUCACCAGCCGAGAUAUGAGCCUGAAGAGGACCCCGUCCAAAAAGCAGACCGGCGUCUUCGGUGUGAAGAUCAGCGUGGUGACGAAAUGGCCGGUGUGGAUCUAGAGUGGCCGCAGAGGCGCUCACAGGACACUUCAGAAGCACGCGAGCCAGCACCUAAACGCUGGAAGGUCUCUUGUGAGAUCCCAGAUCGUCUGCUCCUCGUAACAAGCGGGAAGCUCUGUCAGCCGGGGGCCUACGUUUGGGCUCGGCACCAACGGGGACUGGCGGCCCCUCGGGAAAGGGCACGUGUCCCCCGGUUCACCACCACCCUGGCCCCUUGUCUCAGGCCUGACCCACCUCCUCAUGUGGGCUGCCUGCUGGGCCUCCUACAAGCAUCUGA